rnacentral:rRNA from 1 species
UACAGAGGUCUCAAGCGUUGUUCGGAGUUACUGGGCGUAAAGGGUGUGUAGGCGGUUGUUUAAGUUUGGUGUGAAAUCUCCCGGCUCAACCGGGAGGGUGCGCCGAAUACUGAAUGACUCGAGUGCGGGAGAGGAGAGUGGAAUUCCUGGUGUAGCGGUGAAAUGCGCAGAUAUCAGGAAGAACACCCGUGGCUAAGGCGGCUCUCUAGUACGUGACUGACGCUGAGACGCGAAAGCGUGGGGAGCGAACAGG